rnacentral:misc_RNA from 1 species
AAGUCGUAACAAGGUCUCCGUAGGUGAACCUGCGGAAGGAUCAUUACUGAUUAGGGUCUUCUGGGCCCGAUCUCCAACCCUAUGUUUAAUUAUCCUUGUUGCUUUGGCAGGCCCGUCUUUCGGGACCGCCGGAGGUUUUUGCCUCUGGCCAGUGCCAGCCAGUAGCCAAUUUAAAUUCUUUAUAAUUAUGAAGUCUGAAUCUUUAAUUAAAUUAAUUAAAA